UGCCUUACACAUCCAAGUCUAACGGCAGCAAGGGGGCAACCCUGGUGGCGAGUGGCGAACGGGUGAGUAAUAUAUCGGAACGUGUCCUGUAGUGGGGGAUAGCCCGUCGAAAGCCGGAUUAAUACCGCAUACCCUCUCCGGAGGAAAGGGGGGGAUCUUAGGACCUCCCGCUACAGGGGCGGCCGAUGGCAGAUUAGCUAGUUGGUGGGGUAAAGGCUUACCAAGGCGACGAUCUGUAGCUGGUCUGAGAGGACGACCAGCCACACUGGGGAUGAGACACGGCCCAGACUCCUACGGGAGGCAGCAGUGGGGAAUUUUGGACAAUGGGGGCAACCCUGAUCCAGCAAUGCCGCGUGUGUGAAGAAGGCCUUCGGGUUGUAAAGCUC
rnacentral:rRNA from 1 species